AUGACUCGGUACCAGUACCACCUGUAUAACCUGUACCUCAGCACAAUGACUCUGUACCGGUACCCCUUGUAUAAAGCCUCCACAUUGACUCUGUACCGGUACCCCCUGUUACAAACCUCCACAUCGACUCGGUCUUCACUCAGGGUCUUCACUCAGGGUCUACACCCAGGGUCUACACCCAGGGUCUUCACUCAGGGUAUUCAGUCAAUCGACUCUGUACCGGUACCACCUGUAUAUAGCCUCCACAUUGACUCUGUACCGGUACCCCCUGUAUAUAACCUCCACAUUGACUCUGUACCGGUACCCCCUGUUACAAACCUCCACAUCGACUCGGUACCUGGUCUUCGACUCGGUCUUCACUCAGGGUCUUCACCCAGGGUCUUCACUCAGGGUCUUCACUCAGGGUCUUCAGUCAGGGUCUGGGUUGAAUGGCAUUCCUCUCUACUCUCAUCCCUUUCCCCCUCUCUAUACCUCUCCAUCUGUCUUUAUGUCUCUCUCUCUCUCCCUCUCUGUCUCUAUCUCUGUGUCUCUCUGUCUCUCUCUCUCUCCCUCUCUGUCUCUAUCUCUGUGUCUCUCUGUCUCUCUCUCUCUCUCCCUCUCUGUCUCUAUCUCUGUGUCUCUCUCUCUCUCUCCCUCUCUGUCUCGCUCUCUCCCUCUCUGUCUCUCUGUCUCUCUCUCCCUCCCUGUCUCUGUCCACUGAGACAUUCAUCUUAGUCGGGUGGAUGGAUGGGGUAUAAUGCUGGGGUUAUACCUUUGAUCAUUCAGACGAAGAGACAGAGAAGAGACCUCUGGCUGCAUCCCAAAUGGCACCCUAUUCCCUAUAUAGUGCACUACUUUUGACCCUAGCCCUAUAAGCCUAUGCACUACUUAGGGCAUAGGUUGCCAUUUGAGAGGCAGUGUCACGACUUCCGCCAAAGUCGGUCCCUCUCCUUGUUCAGGCGGUGUUUGGCGGUCGACGUCACCGACCUUCUAGGCAUCACUGAUCCAUUUUUCAUUUUUCAUUGGUUUUGUCUUGUCUUCCUUCACACCUGGUUCCCAAUCCCAUCAAUUACAUGUUGUGUAUUUAACCCUCUGUUUCCCCUCAUGUCCUUGUCGGAGAUUGUUUAGUUUGUAUGAGAUGUGCUAUUUAGUGUUGGUGCUCGACGGGUUUUGUACCCACUGUGUUAUUUUGUUCAUUUUGGAUGUUUUGUCAGCGUUUAUUAAAGAUCUCCGUUUAUACCAAGUUUGUUCUCCUGCGCCUGACUUCCCUGCCACCAACACGCACCCCCCUCACAGGCAGUCUCUCUGUUGUUGUAACUGGAAGGCGUAUGUAUGGGUCCCGUUUUCCAGCCCUGUCAGUGAACCUUGCGUGUUCCAGUGUGGCGAUGCUAGUGGGUUGUGUGUCUAUGGAGGGGUAUGGGGGAGGGACAGUGAGAGAGAGAGAGAUUUUCCCUCAGAUCACACAGACCCACAAAGAAUUCUAAAACAAAUCCCAUAUCUAUUGGGUGAAAUACCACGGUUUGCCAUCGCAGCAGCAGGAAGAUUCAUACAACAAAUACAACCCAUAUUUAGGUACAUUUAUUUUCCCUUUUGUACAUAGCCAUAAUAUGACAUUCGAAAUGUCUCUAUUUGGAACUUUUGUGAGUGUAAUGAGAGACCCAUGAAUGAAAAUGCUGGAAAGGGAGGAAGAAGCUGUCACUGCAUUACUGCCUUUUUGGGCUGUUUCCUUCUUUCUUGUCUCUCCUCUCUCGUGGACCCGAAGUGACACCCAUGUCCUGGGACGUCUGUUUUCACUUGCAGCAUCACACCUCAUGACAGCUCAGUCCCCUACUUCAUAUGGCUUUAGUUUUUUCUUUUGUUGUUUCUGGCCCCAGCCCUGUUGGCUGAGCUCUGGUCAAAUGCAGUGCACUACAUAGGGAAUAGGGUGCCAUUUGGGACGCGCGCCAUGGCUUUCCUGUGACAUUUCUGGCCAUAGCGCCGCUGCCUAAGUGGUUGGAUCUAGCCUUCUCUCACAUCAUUGGCCCUUUGCUUUGCCAGGCUUCUGUUUAUCACAUGGUUGGGUUUGGAGGGCGCUCUGUGAGUAAGCCGAGACAUGCACAGUCAGGACUGAUUUGGUCUGAGUCGUUAUUAUUUGCUGCAGGGUCACAUAAGGAGAGGACUGACUGGGCCUGCAUCCCAAAUCAAACCCUAUUACUUAUAUAGUGCACUACUUUUGGCCCUGGUCAAAAGUAGGAUACGUUGCAAUUUGGGACACUAACAGAGAAUAGGGUCAUUCAUAUACACUGGUCACCAAACGUAAGAAAACAGACUGAGAAAGGCAGGAAGGGCAGGGGGGAAUGCUUGAACAUGUCCAAUAGGAAACAUCUGUUUUUGAUUUCCACUGCAAAACGUUUUACUAUUGUGUGCUCUAAUGAAUGUGACCCAGCCAUGAUAGUCAGGAGAGAUGUGCAGGUUUAGAGUCACAGUGACUCAGGGACUACAUUAUCAACUCAUAGGACAUACAGGGUGAAUAUACAGUAUGUGGGGCUAGCAUUUGGUAGCCUGGGUACCAGUCUGUUUGUGCCAUCGUGCUACUACUUGGUAGCCUGGGUACCAGUCUGUUUGUGCCAUCAUGCCACUACUUGGUAG
rnacentral:lncRNA from 13 species